GAGGAAUUUUGCGCAAUGGGGGAAACCCUGACGCAGCAACGCCGCGUGAGUGAUGAAGGCUUUCGGGUCGUAAAGCUCUGUCAAGUGGGAAGAAGUUGUGCAUGGCUAAUAACUGUGCACAUUGACGGUACCACUGAAGGAAGCACCGGCUAACUCCGUGCCAGCAGCCGCGGUAAUACGGAGGGUGCAAGCGUUAUUCGGAUUUACUGGGCGUAAAGGGCGCGUAGGCGGCUUGAUAAGUCAGUCGUGAAAGCCCGGGGCUCAACCCCGGAAGUGCGAUUGAAACUAUCAGGCUUGAGUAUGGUAGAGGGAAGUGGAAUUCCAGGUGUAGCGGUGAAAUGCGUAGAUAUCUGGAGGAACACCGGUGGCGAAGGCGACUUCCUGGACCAAUACUGACGCUGAUGCGCGAAGGUGUGGGUAGCAAAC
rnacentral:rRNA from 1 species